UACAGAGGUCUCAAGCGUUGCUCGGAAUCACUGGGCGUAAAGCGCACGUAGGCGGAUUGCUAAGUCAGGGGUGAAAUCCUGGAGCUCAACUCCAGAACUGCCUUUGAUACUGGCGACCUUGAGUCCGGGAGAGGUGAGUGGAACUGCGAGUGUAGAGGUGAAAUUCGUAGAUAUUCGCAAGAACACCAGUGGCGAAGGCGGCUCACUGGCCCGGUACUGACGCUGAGGUGCGAAAGCGUGGGGAGCAAACAGG
rnacentral:rRNA from 1 species